GCUUUUAAAGGAUAAUAGUUUUCCCCUGGUCUUAGGCUCCAAAAAUUCUCGGUGCAAGUCCGAGUAAAAGCU
rnacentral:tRNA from 1 species